GAUGAAGAACGUAGCGAAAUGCGAUAAGUAAUGUGAAUUGCAGAAUUCAGUGAAUCAUCGAAUCUUUGAACGUACAUUGCGCCCCUUGGUAUUCCGAGGGGCAUGCCUGUUCGAGCGUCAUAUUAACCACUCCCGCUUGCGGGGUCUUGGGCUUCGCCUCCGGGCGGGCCUUAAAAUCAGUGGCGGUGCCGUCGGGCUCUACGCGUAGUAAAUUUUCUCGCGAUAGGGUCCCGGUGGAUGCUUGCCAACAACCCCCAACUUCUUAAGGUUGACCUCGGAUCAGGUAGGGAUACCCGCUGAACUUAAGCAUAUCAAUAAGCGGAGGA
rnacentral:misc_RNA from 1 species